CUACGUGCCAGCAGCCGCGGUAAUACGUAGGGGGCAAGCGUUAUCCGGAAUAACUGGGCGUAAAGGGUGCGCAGGUGGUUUAACAAGUUAGUGGUGAAAGGCAUAGGCUCAACCAAUGUAAGCCAUUAAAACUGUUUAACUUGAGUGCAGGAGAGGAAAGUGGAAUUCCUAGUGUAGCGGUGAAAUGCGUAGAUAUUAGGAGGAAUACCAGUGGCGAAGGCGACUUUCUGGACUGCAACUGACACUGAGGCACGAAAGCGUGGGGAGCAAACAGGAUUAGAUACCCUGGUAGUCCACGCCGUAAACGAUGAGUACUAGGUGUCGGGUGAAGAACUCGGUGCCGAAGUUAACACAUUAAGUACUCCGCCUGGGGAGUACGCUCGCAAGAGUAAAACUCAAAGGAAUUGACGGGGACCCGCACAAGCAGCGGAGCAUGUGGUUUAAUUCGAAGCAACGCGCAGAACCUUACCUAAACUUGACAUCCAGAGAACAUUC
rnacentral:rRNA from 1 species